rnacentral:rRNA from 1 species
GAUAAACGCUGGCGGCGUGCAUUAGACAUGCAAGUCGAACGGACUUUCAGGGCUUGCUCUGAAAGUUAGUGGCGGACGGCUGAGUAACGCGUGGGUGACCUACCCCGAAGUGGGGAAUAACUGCCCGAAAGGGUGGCUAAUACCGCAUACGAUCGUUAAUUCAUUUUGACGAUCAAAGCAGCAAUGCGCUUUGGGAGGGGCCUGCGUCCGAUUAGCUCGUUGGUGGGGUAAUGGCUCACCAAGGCGACGAUCGGUAGGUGGUCUGAGAGGACGAUCACCCAGACUGGGACUGAGACACGGCCCAGACUCCUACGGGAGGCAGCAGUCGGGAAUUUUGCUCAAUGGGCGCAAGCCUGAAGCAGCAACGCCGCGUGCGGGAUGAAGGCCUUCGGGUUGUAAACCGCUUUUCUUAGGGACGAUUAUGACGGUACCUAAGGAAUAAGCCACGGCUAACUACGUGCCAGCCGCCGCAGUAAUAC